rfam:Ovis aries breed Texel chromosome 10, whole genome shotgun sequence.
UCCUUUGUAGCUCAGUUGGUAAAGAAUCUGCCUGCAGUGCAGGAGACCAGGGUUCAAUCCCUGGGUUUGGGAA